GUACUGACCGACGAAUCCUACGAAGUGCACGCCCAUCUGAUCGAAGAACUCCUUUUCCGUCACGCCGAGUAUCUAAGGUUCUCCGGAUAAACUUGGUGAACGCUAAAGCUCGGCUGAUCCACAGACGCCUGCCUGCGAAUCUCUUCCCAUCUAUCUUCGCCGUAAACCUGCCUUAUGUAUUCGGCCAGGUUUUCCAAGAUUAGACCAUACAUGGUUUCUCUUUAAACAAGUUCUAUCGAAAACACUUGACGCACCCCGAUAUAUCUCCGUUCGGUUGUCUAAAAUGGUGAACCCACUCUUUCGUGCUCCUCAACGACGCCCUUUGCGGAAGCUGCGGUGGAACUUCAGAGAUGCAACGGCGG